UACAGAGGAUGCAAGCGUUAUCCGGAUUCACUGGGUUUAAAGGGUGCGUAGGUGGGUUGGUAAGUCAGUGGUGAAAUCUCCAGGCUUAACUUGGAAACUGCCAUUGAUACUAUCAAUCUUGAAUACCGUGGAGGUCAGCGGAAUAUGUCAUGUAGCGGUGAAAUGCUUAGAUAUGACAUAGAACACCAAUUGCGAAGGCAGCUGGCUACACGAAUAUUGACACUGAUGCACGAAAGCGUGGGGAUCAAACAGG
rnacentral:rRNA from 1 species